rnacentral:rRNA from 1 species
UACGUAGGGGGCAAGCGUUGUCCGGAUUCAUUGGGCGUAAAGAGCGUGUAGGCGGCCAGGUAGGUCGGUUGUGAAAACUGGAGGCUCAACCUUCAGAGGUCGACCGAAACCACCUGGCUAGAGUCCGGGAGAGGAGAGUGGAAUUCCUGGUGUAGCGGUGAAAUGCGCAGAUAUCAGGAAGAACACCAGUGGCGAAAGCGGCUCUCUGGAACGGUACUGACGCUGAUGCGCGAAAGCCAGGGGAGCAAACAGG